rnacentral:rRNA from 1 species
UACGUAGGUGGCAAGCGUUGUCCGGAUUUACUGGGCGUAAAGAGCGCGCAGGCGGUCGUGCAAGUCGCGUGUGAAAGCCCCCGGCUCAACUGGGGAGGGUCACGCGAUACUGCUCGACUCGAAGGCAGGAGAGGGAAGUGGAAUUCCCGGUGUAGUGGUGAAAUGCGUGGAUAUCUGGAGGAACACCGGUGGCGAAGGCGGCAUCCUGGACCGGCAUUGACGCUGAGGCGCGAAAGCCAGGGGAGCAAACGGG